AAGUCGUAACAAGGUUUCCGUAGGUGAACCUGCGGAAGGAUCAUUAUCAUCCUUAAAUAUAUAUUUUUAUUUUUUCACUAAAGUAAAAAUAUAUAUACCAUAAACCAAUCGUGAACCGUUUUUUUGCCUCCAAUGAGGUAAACUGGGGAAGAAGAAAGAGUCUCAAGAAGUAUACUUUUUCUUUUCUUUAAAAAAAAAGUGUGCUAAUUGAUUUCCUUUUUUUUUCUUUUUUUUUUCCUUAUUGGUUGUAUUUUCAUUUUUUUAUUUACCCUUUGAACAACUCAUUUCAUACAAAAUAUGAACUGAAUUAAUUUUCCGAUUUUUCUUUUUGUUUAAAAAAAAAAUUUGGAAAAGGAUAAAUUAAUAUCUAAUGAAAAAAUAAAGAGAAACAACUCUUAGCAACGGAUAUCUUGGUUCUC
rnacentral:misc_RNA from 1 species